rnacentral:rRNA from 1 species
UACGAAGGGGGCAAGCGUUGUUCGGAAUUACUGGGCGUAAAGGGCGCGUAGGCGGUGCGUUAAGUCAGAUGUGAAAGCCCUGGGCUCAACCCGGGAUUGCGCUUGAUACUGGUGCGCUGAAUCCAGGAGAGGUUGGUGGAAUUCCCAGUGUAGAGGUGAAACUUCGUAGAGUAUUGGGAAGAAACACCGGUGGCGAAGGCGGCCAACUGGACUGGUAUUGACGCUGAGGCGCGAAAGCGUGGGGAGCAAACAGG